rnacentral:ribozyme from 1 species
UGCACAGCAAUUCCUAUUUCUUCUUCCUCACGGUACUGGCCGAGGAUUGAUCCAAACUUAGGGAGGAUCAAGUGACCAAUCCCGGUGAGAACUUUGGUCGUAUGCUGACAGGGAAGG